rfam:Candidate divison MSBL1 archaeon SCGC-AAA259I09 AAA259I09_Contig_0, whole genome shotgun sequence.
GCCUCGGUAGCUCAGCUGGUCAGAGCGAUCGCCUCGUAUCUAGCCGGGAAAGCGAUAGGUCGCGGGUUCGAAUCCCGCCCGGGGCU